GAGAUGUGAGGCUGUGCAGCCCAUUGGCAGUUUCUCCAAAUUACAACACGACCAUAUUGACAAAACUUGAAGAUUGCAAGAAAAAUGGUCCUUCCUUUCCCUCCACUAAUGACACAAGUUGCUCACAACGCUCGAUUUCCAAAUGCUUUAAACAAGCAAGCUUGUCUAAAUGAGUUCCAUUCUUCCACAAGUGCUUCAGUUAAUCACACAAUUCAAUCCUCAAAUCUUCAACUGCUCUAUGUGAACUUCAUCUAAACUGAUACGGCCAAAAAUAUUCUCAAUUUUUAAGGAAGUAAGAGAGGUGAGAUUACCCACAUUUCGGAGAACUGCCUCUUGACAUUUUUUAAUAUAGAGUUUUCGAAGAGAUGAAAGACAGCCAGGCAAUGUCCCAACAAACUUUUGGGACAAUUACUUAUUGUAAGAUCAUGGAGACUAGGAAAUUUUAUUGCAGCUUCCCUAUUGAGAUCAUGAGACCAAGACCAUUGCUCCCACUCCAACAUAUCCUCAAUUCUUAGAGUCUCAAGAGAAGGAAAAGAUGAACCAUUCCCAUAAAACUCGACACCAAUUUCUUUCACUUCAUUCGUGCCAUUUAUCCUCAACUCUUUAAGUGAGGGUAAUCGUCCGAGUGGUGGAAGUGACGUGAUGUUGUGACAAUUGCAAAGAUUUAGCCAUACCAUAUUAGCAAAUGUGGGAUCUCCAAUCCAUGAUGAAAAUUCUAUUCCACCAAAUGAUUUAACUGAGAGCUUUAAAAGAUUGUCAAGAGGCUGCAAUGAGUCAAGAACCUGCACUUCAUGACUUGGAUUUCUGGAACAAAAGGAAGCAUUGGUCCAUGUCAAUUCUAGUACUUCUGGGCCUUGCUUCUCCUUUAAACUGGCAAAAUCUGCAUCUCGAAUAUCCACCACAUUCUGCAGCCCAGCGAUGUGAAGCUUCCCUUGUAGCUGAGAAAAUUUCUUCAACUCCGUUAACUUAAGUCCUUUACCUUCUCCCACAAUAAACUUUGUCAAUGUUAGGAGGCGUGUCAAGUUCCCAAUUUGUACCGGCAUCUCUUUCAAUUUAUCAGUACCACUAAUAUCAAAGCAUUGCAAAUUAACUAAAGUGCCAAUUUCAAAGGGCAACUCAAUAAGCUCUUUACACCCAUGUAAUCUUAAUAUCUGUAAGUUGAAAAGUUCACCUAUUGAUUUAGGUAAUCUUUCAAUUGCAGUGUAAGAUAAAUUGAGAUAUCGUAAAUGCUUCAAGCCACCAAUAGAACUUGGCAACUCCACAAACUCAUAACCAGCAAGUGAUAGUACCCUCAACCUUUUUAACUUUGGCACCAAGUCGUACAGCACCUUACCAGUUAAAUAACUACGCCCUUUUGCCAUGCUGGGCAAUGCUAAGAAUGUUCGCAAACCCAUCAUAUCAACACAGCCUUCAAAUUUUUGCCAAAUUUCAUACUGAUGGCGAAUGAAUGAUGAAUGUCGUGUCUUUGCACAUGAUUUUGCAUCCUCCAACUUGUUUCCCAAUUGAAAACAAAUUUCUUCGCUAACAUACCAAGCCAAAUCAGUCAUCAGGUCAUGCAUUACAUAUCGUGAUUUACCAUUACUAGACCAUUGAAAGAAUGAUCUAGAUGAUAAAUCAUGAAAGUAUUGACAUCCUAUGUCUUGCAUUUGCUUCAUCUUCUCUGGCUGAUACAAAAAACCAUCUACCAUCCACUAUAAAACCAACUCAUCUGUAUCAAACUUGUAAUCUUUUGGAAAAAUAGCACAAUAAGCAAAACAUUGUUUUAAAUGUGAGGGAAGAUGAAAAUAGCUCAGCCUCAAGGCUAGAAGAACAUUGCUUUUCUCAUCAGGCAGAUCCCAUGUCUUGCUGGUUAACACUUCCUCCCACGCAUUACGAUAUGGUUUACCUCUCAGGACGCCUCCAGUAGUUUUAGCAGCCAAAGGCAACCCCUGACAUUUUUUAACAAUUCCUUUACCUAUUUCUUCUAAAUCCAUGUGGUCAUCAAAAUUCGGUGCUCCGAGAGCAUGUUGUGCAAACACAGACAUACAAUCAUCAUAUGAUAACUCCUUUAGAGGAUAAGCCUGAACAGCACCCAUCCUUGAUGAUACGUGAUGACUGCGAGUUGUGACAAUAAUUGUGCUUCCUGGCGCCCCCGCUAUAACAGGAGAACAAAAACAAGUCCAAUCUUCAUAAUUUUCAGUCCAGACAUCGUCUAGGACAAUAAAAAAUUUCUUCAUGGACAGUUUCUCCUUCAAUUUUAGCUGAAGCAAAUUUAAGUCUUUCUCAUCAUGACCCUUCAGCAGGAGAAUUGUUUUGGUCAUUCCGAAAACAUCAAAAUCUUUACCAACGGAAACCCAAGCUUCAAAUCAAACUCCAAAGUAGUACCAUUGAAGAUGAGCUGAGCGAGAGUC
rnacentral:misc_RNA from 1 species